rnacentral:lncRNA from 1 species
CUAUAAACAUUGAUGUGGCUGUGUCCCUGCAGUACGCUGUUUUUAAGUCCUUUGGGUAUAGACUGAGGAGAGGGAUAGCUGGGUCAAAUGGUGUUCCAUUCACAGUUUUCCAAGGAAUCUCCAUACUGCUUUCCAAAUUGGCCGCACCAAUUUGCAGUCCCACCAGCAAUGUAUUUCAUGCUAGUUUGGACACACCUGUUACAAAGCUGUGUCACACAUAUUCUCCUUUUUAAGCCCUGCAGUUAUUUCUUGUUAAAAUAGCCAUAGGAAGUUGGGCUUUCAAUGAGAUUAUUGUCUUUGGGGACAACUCAGUUUAAUUAAUAACUACCUACCUGCAACGGCCUAACUGAUCCAACAGUUUGGAGAAAGCUAAUGGUGUUCAAGCGACUGGUACCUCUGAACAAAGGAGCUCUGGAAGCAGGCUGGCAGAGACUGGCCUUUGCUACAUGGGACCCAUGAGGAGCCUAAUGGGGUCAUUAGGGGCCCUCAUAUGAGGAGCCAGCAUCUGCUUGCACAGGAAGAGGA